UACGGGGGGAGCAAGCGUUGUUCGGAUUUACUGGGCGUAAAGGGCGCGUAGGCGGCCGGACAAGUGGAAGGUGAAAUCCCCGAGCUCAACUCGGGAACUGCCCUCCAAACUGUUUGGCUUGAGUCUGGGAGAGGUGAGUGGAAUUCCCAGUGUAGCGGUGAAAUGCGUAGAUAUUGGGAGGAACACCAGUGGCGAAGGCGGCUCACUGGACCGGAACUGACGCUGAGGCGCGAAAGCGUGGGGAGCAAACAGG
rnacentral:rRNA from 1 species